CCGCCGGCCCUGGAUCCCCACGCGCCACCGGCCCUGGAUCCCAGCAUGCCGCCGUCGGCCCUGGAUCCCAGCCUGCCGCCCCGGCCGCUAGCCCUGGAUCCCACCACCGCGCCGCCGGGCAGUGGACCCCUGUGCGCUGCGCUUCCACCAUGGCGGACGGUAACCACCAACCCAUCAUCAUCGCCUACAGUCCGAGUCUGUACGCCUGCACCGUUCAACUCCUUCCUCGAGUACGUCUGCGAUGGAUGCAUGCCACCCCCUACUAUGGAUAAGGUGUGAUCCGCCGUCAUCUCCUCUCACGGGGUGCGCGACUCCCGGAGGCUGGACCACCUCGGCGCACCCUGCUGGGGAGCCGUUCAACAGGGCCACCUUCAGCACCCUCUCGGGCCGCCGUUCAACUACACCAACUGGGGGUCGUUCAACAAACUCGCCCGACGCCGUACGAGGCCGAGUCCCAGCGAGGAGCUUGUCACCUCCUAGGCUAUGUGCUGCCUGAGGACUAUGGGCUCCUGUUCGUCAACGUCGCAACGAGCACUGACGGAGAUGCAAACUUAGACACCCCAAGUUGUGCGUGUGCAGAGCCAUAGGUGAGGCAUCCAGGAAAGCACUCCAUCCAGGACUACAGAUUUUUGCUAAUAACAAAGUUCAUGUUGUCAGAAAAUUGAAGUCCAUUUAUAUGGAAUUAGAUGGUUGUUGUGUGUAUGCAGCUAUUAGCAGAAAUCUGUGCUGAAAACUUGUGGCUGAGCCAGGGCCCUGGAUGCUGAUAACAUUUGUAAUUUGUGCUCUGUACCUUCUGGAGACUUGGGGGAUGAAAAAAGG